rnacentral:rRNA from 1 species
UGAGGGAAUAUUUGGGUCAAUGGCCGGAAGGCUGAACCAGCCAAGCCGCGUGAGGGAAGACUGCCCUAUGGGUUGUAAACCUCUUUUAUUCGGGAAGAAUAAGUUUCACGCGUGGAACGAUGCCUGUACCGAAUGAAUAAGCAUCGGCUAACUCCGUGCCAGCAGCCGCGGUAAUACGGAGGAUGCGAGCGUUAUCCGUAUUUAUUGGGUUUAAAGGGUGCGUAGGCGGUUGAUUAAGUUAGUGGUAAAUGUCAUGGCUAAACCUUGGCCAGCCAUUAAUACUGGUCAGCUUGAGUACAGACGAGGUAGGCGGAAUAAGUUAAGUAGCGGUGAAAUGCUUAGAUAUAACUUAGAACUCCGAUAGCGAAGGCAGCUUACCAGGCUGUGACUGACGCUGAAGCACGAGAGCGUGGGUAGCGAACAGGAUUAGAUACCCUGGUAGU